AGGAAAUUGAAGUAAAAGUUUAAAAAAUGGAUCUCGAAAGCGAAUUUGGAGAAGAUACAUUGCCGCAUUCAACAUGGGACUUCGGAAAAGAGCUGCCAUAUUCUAAAAACUCCGAAAGCCAGGAAGCAUCGAGUGAUGAAUUUACCCAAAUAACACCAGGACACGCUGUCGCUCAAGAAGUUUUAGUAGAGGACUUAAAAUGUUUAAACUUAUCGGAAGCUUCUUUCGAAGCCGCAGCUCAUAUUGUAAGAGAAAAACAAUAUAUUUUUGGAGACAUUGAGCAAAUUAUUUGUAAACGGAAAAAUGGCACUAUUCAAGAAUACAUAAUGUGUUGUUUAGAGACUUUCAAGAAGAAAACGUUGGUACCAGUAAUGUUUGAUAGCGUUUAAAAAGGGAAAGUGUUGAGUGAGUUUUUGUUUCACCUCAACAUAAUCCCAGAAUCUGUAGCUGAAUAUCUUCGAGCAGCUGUAGAUCAAGUAGCAGAUUGUGUCAAAAAUGUACACGAGUUGUGGAGUUAUUUGUGCUCCUAUAGUGUAAAAUGCACAAGAAAGCUGGCGGAAUAUGUUGACGUUUUUUCAUUUAUGAUUGAGCAUAUAAAGAAAUUUACUUUCGUGAAUCAUGAUGAAUACAUGCCAGAAUUUUGGAUUAUCUACAAAAUGCUGAAGGCAAAAGAUACUGAAAAGCAAGAGGCGCUUUAUGGUAUCAUUGGUGAUUGGCAAAU